GACAUGAUCAUGGCUUCUACCUAUAGCCCCCUACACAGUGGACAUGAUCAUGGCUUCUACCUAUAGCCCCCUACACAGUGGACAUGAUCAUGGCUUCUACCUAUAGCCCCCUUCACUGCCCUCCUCCACCCUCCUCCUUGAUCCUCACCUUGUCUCUUACAAGGGCCACUGUGUAUGAAGGAGAUGACUGGGUUCUGUCCCAUCCUUGGACACUGACACCUUUUCCUAACUAAUAGGGCAGAUGUGAAAUGGCACCCUAUUCCCUAAAUAGUGCACUGUAUAUUUGACCAGAGUCUUGUACAUGUAGGUAACAGGGUGCCAUUUGAGACCGAGCCUAAAACACAAUCUGCAAAGCAAUUUAGAUAAUCUACCCAGGAUGCAACGGUACACCUUUCUGCUGUACUUGUGCCAGUUGCCAGGGGCUGUCUGUGUGCUGGUGCUAUUAUAUGUUUCCCAAAUGGAACUCCAUUCCCUAUAUAGUGCACUACUUUUGACCAGGGACCAUAGGGCUCUGGUCAAAAGUAGUGCACUACUUAGGGAAUAGUGUGUCAUUUGGGAUGUUAUCUCCUUCUCUGCUGGGACCAUACAAACCUGCCUUAUUCCCUUUGGGGGCAAAUCCUAACUUCCACUUAAGUUGAAUUUUCACUAAGUCAUGAGGAUGUGAAUGGGAGAGAAUUUGUCUUAAGUGCAAGUUAGGAUUUGACUCUUAGUCCGAAACGAUCCGUCACGUUGGAUCCCGAUUCAUCUUUUUGUUUAGUUUUCUAUUCCAGAGAAAUACUUGACUUUCUUAUCUUCUGUACUUUUAGACUUGUAUUAUGACAUUACAGAAGAAGACAUGCAUCACUAGGGACAGAGGACUACUGUUAUAUUAUUUUGAUUCAUUUUUUUUUUGCUAACUUCUCGAUAGCUAUAUAUGCAUUGUUUUCUACAUGUACAGGGCAACUAGGUAUGUAAUAUUUAAUGUGCUCCCUCUAAAUAUUCGUAUUAACAGAAGAUGUAACUAGUCUGUCAAUGACACCCCUCCCCCUCCCCAAUGUUCCUCCUACUGUAAAUGAUUUGCCCUCUUGUUCUAGCAAGUAUUGCAGGGUUUUGUUGUAAUGACGUGUAAAGGUUUUGGAUCAGCUGGACCUGGCAUAACGCCGUCCUCUUGCUGAGAUGGCAAACGGGCUCAAGAUUGUGUAAUAAUAAUCGCUCUUUUUGUAAAUUCUUUUCUAAAGGAUAUUUUUGUAUAUGCUGUUUCUCCUCUCUUCAGUUUCUGCCCUGCUACAACAGGGACAGUCCACUCCAGUCCGGGAGGACUUCAAGUCUCCUGGGUUUCUUUCUCUCUCGCUCCUUCUAAUCAGACUAAUUCAAACCCGGUGAUGACAUCGCCAGAUGAUUAGACUCUCUGGCCAAUCAGAGACAUGAUUCAAUCAAUCAAUGAACUAAACCAGGAGUACUUUGGCGUUCCAGGCCUGGAGUUGAAUUCCCUUGGACCCUAACUGCUACCACUAGCAUUUGUUUUGGAGCCCGCCUGUGCCUUUUGGAGAGUGCUGCCCCGCCCCCCCCUUCUCCCAUCAUCAGCAGCAGCAGCACGUGUACUGACAUGCUCAGCCGUGUUGGUUGGUCAACUCCUCUUGGAAACUGCUUGCAUCCCAAAUGGCACCAUAUUCCCUAUAUAGUCCACUACUUAUGAACAGACCAGACUCUGGUCAAAAGUAGUGCACUAUGUAGGGAAUAGGGCCCUAUGGGGGCUCUGGUCAAAAGUAGUGCACUAUAUAGGGAACAUGGUGCCUUUUUGGGUCCCAGACCCUCUCUGACACCCCUCCUCCUCCCACACAACGCAGACCUGUUUGUAUGUUGCAGAAAUCAAUGGACCCGUCAGUAAAGACUAAAGACAUCAAGUAGAACAUGCUUCCUUGUUUUCCUACACUGUUUUUUAAAGUCUCUAGAGGGGCUGGGGGAGUAGCGCUGGGGCUUCCUGUGUGUGUGGGGAUUCUCUCUCUCUGUGGGUGUGUGGAUUCUCUCCCUCUCUCUGUGGGUGUGUGGAUUCUCCUCUCUCUGUGGGUGUGUGGAUUCUCUCUCUCUCUGUGGGUGUGUGGAUUCUCUCUCUCUCUGUGGGUGUGUGGAUUCUCUCUCUCUCUGUGUGUGUGGGGAUUCUCUCUCUCUGUGGGUGUGGGGAUUCUCUCCCUCUCUCUGUGUGUGUGGGGAUUCUCUCUCUCUGUGGGUGUGUGGAUUCUCUCCCUCUCUUUGUGGGUGUGUGGAUUCUCUCCCUCUCUUUGUGGGUGUGUGGAUUCUCUCUCUCUCUCUGUGGGUGUGUGGAUUCUCUCUCUCUCUCUGUGGGUGUGUGGAUUCUCUCUCUCUCUCUGUGGGUGUGUGGAUUCUCUCUCUCUCUCUGUGCGUGUGUGGAUUCUCUCUCUCUGUGCGUGUGUGGAUUCUCUCUCUCUGUGCGUGUGUGGAUUCUCUCUCUCUGUGGGUGUGUGGAUUCUCUCUCUCUUUCUGUGGGUGUGUGGAUUCUCUCUCUCUCUGUGGGUGUGUGUGUGGGGGAAUUCUGUGUGUGUGUGUGUGUGUGUUGUUAAACUCCCUGCCCCCAGGGGGAGGGGAGGUGGAUGAGGACGUGGUGUCCUCCUCCCUAGUGAUCAAACAUGAGCUUUAUGAUCGACUGAGACCAUAAAGAACAAACCACACAGACACAUACAGGCCUAGUGUCUGUGAGACUGACUGCAACCCAGAGGAAUGAGAGACUGUGUGUGUGUGUGUGUGUGUGUGUGUGUGUGUGUGUGUGUGUGUGUGUGUGUGUGUGUGUGUGUGUGUGUGUGUGUGUGUGUGUGUGUGUGUGUGUGUGUGUGUGUGUGUGUGAUCAUGCUGUAUGUGUCCAGAGGGUACAUUCACUGACUUGGCAGGAAGUGAGCUCAGCUAGAGUUCUCCAUCAACCUGGAGUUUUACACACACACACAUGGUUCCAUAUAAGGUCCACUUCCACCUGGGUUUAUCCUUCAUCUGUUCUAAUGUGACACAUUUUCUCACUGUGGGUUGGCACACACUUCAAUUGGAAGGGUUUUAGUAUGUUUUCAAUGAAAUGAGUUCCCACACACCUAGGGGUUUCCACCCUGUGUUUGACACACUUCCUCCCUGUGACUACAGGUGGAGGAGUUAUUGAUGAGGCUUGUCACACAGACACACACUUCCUCCCUGUGACUACAGGUGGAGGAGUUAUUGAUGAGGCUUGUCACACUGACACACACUUCCUCCCUGUGACUACAGGUGGAGGAGUUAUUGAUGAGGCUUGUCACACUGACACACACUUCCUCCCUGUGACUACAGGUGGAGGAGUUAUUGAUGAGGCUUGUCACACUGACACAGACACACACUUCCUCCCUGUGACUACAGGUGGAGGAGUUAUUGAUGAGGCUUGUCACACAGACACACACUUCCUCCCUGUGACUACAGGUGGAGGAGUUAUUGAUGAGGCUUGUCACACAGACACACACUUCCUCCCUGUGACUACAGGUGGAGGAGUUAUUGAUGAGGCUUGUCACACUGACACACACUUCCUCCCUGUGACUACAGGUGGAGGAGUUAUUGAUGAGGCUUGUCACACUGACACACACUUCCUCCCUGUGACUACAGGUGGAGGAGUUAUUGAUGAGGCUUGUCACACUGACACACACUUCCUCCCUGUGACUACAGGUGGAGGAGUUAUUGAUGAGGCUUGUCACACUGACACAGACACACACUUCCUCCCUGUGACUACAGGUGGAGGAGUUAUUGAUGAGGCUUGUCACACUGACACACACUUCCUCCCUGUGACUACAGGUGGAGGAGUUAUUGAUGAGGCUUGUCACACUGACACACACUUCCUCCCUGUGACUACAGGUGGAGGAGUUAUUGAUGAGGCUUGUCACACUGACACACACUUCUAUGGGGGCAGGUUUCUGGUAUGUAUUGGGUUCACACUUCUAUGGGGGCAGGUUUCUGGUAUGUAUUGGGUUCACACUUCUAUGGGGGCAGGUUUCUGGUAUGUAUUGGGCUCACGUUCCAAUUACAUUACUUACACGUUUCAUUCCCGAAGCUACUGGUCCCAUUGAGGAAGCUCGGUUUAAUGAAUAAAGAUAUACAUCUGGAAUGAAUUGUGUCCUGGCCAACACUCUUCUUCACUUAUCUGGCUCGGGUCCUGGACUAGUCUCUCAGAUAAUUAUUGAGAAAGUGGAGCUGUGCAUUGAUUUAUUAAUAAGUGUGCCUAGUAGUCGUGGUGCAUCCUUCAACAUGAUCUGGUGAG